GGCAGGCCUAACACAUGCAAGUCGAGCGGUAACAGAUCUAGCUUGCUGGAUGCUGACGAGCGGCGGACGGGUGAGUAAUGCAUAGGAAUCUGCCCGAUAGUGGGGGAUAACCUGGGGAAACCCAGGCUAAUACCGCAUACGUCCUACGGGAGAAAGGGGGCUCCGGCUCCCGCUAUUGGAUGAGCCUAUGUCGGAUUAGCUAGUUGGUGAGGUAACGGCUCACCAAGGCCACGAUCCGUAGCUGGUCUGAGAGGAUGAUCAGCCACAUCGGGACUGAGACACGGCCCGAACUCCUACGGGAGGCAGCAGUGGGGAAUAUUGGACAAUGGGGGCAACCCUGAUCCAGCCAUGCCGCGUGUGUGAAGAAGGCCCUCGGGUUGUAAAGCACUUUCAGCGAGGAAGAACGCCUAGCGGUUAAUACCCGCUAGGAAAGACAUCACUCGCAGAAGAAGCACCGGCUAACUCCGUGCCAGCAGCCGCGGUAAUACGGAGGGUGCAAGCGUUAAUCGGAAUUACUGGGCGUAAAGCGCGCGUAGGUGGCUUGAUAAGCCGGUUGUGAAAGCCCCGGGCUCAACCUGGGAACGGCAUCCGGAACUGUCAAGCUAGAGUGCAGGAGAGGAAGGUAGAAUUCCCGGUGUAGCGGUGAAAUGCGUAGAGAUCGGGAGGAAUACCAGUGGCGAAGGCGGCCUUCUGGACUGACACUGACACUGAGGUGCGAAAGCGUGGGUAGCAAACAGGAUUAGAUACCCUGGUAGUCCACGCCGUAAACGAUGUCGACCAGCCGUUGGGUGCCUAGCGCACUUUGUGGCGAAGUUAACGCGAUAAGUCGACCGCCUGGGGAGUACGGCCGCA
rnacentral:rRNA from 1 species